ACAGGUGAGCAGGACGUGACCAUACCUGGCAGCCUCGUCCUCCUACCGAUAAGAGGUAUCACGGCGGCCCUCACCAGUCACCACCACUAUCGCCACCUCGUGAUGUAACGCCCCUCCUGCCUGUCCUCUCUCCUCUCAACGGUAUACACGCUACAAGGCUUUCAACACCAGCUGUUCUCUCGGCCCGCUGGAGGACAUGAUCACAUCCCAAGGUUCGUGGCGCCGCUGGCCCUGGAGGUUCGGGAGCGCCCCUCCUCUCACCUCCUCGCCCCACCCACACGCGACCUUCAACACAAGGCAACCUCCACGACUCAGAGCAACACCACAGGAGGCAAAAUGUAAAUAGACUGAGUUAUGGCGCUGCACCACCACAGGAGGGAGAGAGGAUGGGACGGAGAGCGAGUCCUUCAGAGUCAUCUCCUACCAUCACCACCACCCACAUGACCAACACCACUGCCAGCGUCAUAUUCUAGAACGAUCUGCUACCUUAUCGCGACUAUGUAUAAAACAGAAUUGUAUAAGUUAUUUGAAGUUUCUAAAGGCGUUUUUAUUAGUCUAAUGAUGGGUUAAUGAAAUAUGGUAGAAACAAAAAAUGAAAGAAUAUUUUUCUGGAAUGUUUUCAUAAUCUAAAUUAUGGUUGAACAAAAAUCUCUGUCGGGAAUAGGGAAAUAAUGUUUUAUGAGAGUGUUUUCAUGAUUAUAAUGAGACUUUAACAAAGAUUCUAUACUAUUACUAAGGCAAAAGUGUUCUAAGGAUAUUUCCAUGAUUACAAUGAUCGCUCAAAAAAAAUAUUCCAUGGCAUGAAUAUAAGUAAAUAGGGUUGU